UGGAUCGAUAAUGACCACUGGUGGCUUACGAGUCGUGAAUGAUGACUAUGUGUCUGGAACGCUGAGGUCUAU